GACGAACGCUGGCGGCGUGAUUAACAAAUGCAAGUCGAACGAAGUGGCGAACGGGUGAGUAAAGCGUAAUCAACCUGCCCUUCAGAGGGGGACAAUAGUUGGAAACGACUGCUAAUACCGCAUACUGAAGGAGGGGAUAGCGUCUGAUUAGCGAGUUGGAGGGGUAACGGCCCACCAAGGCGAUGAUCAGUAGCCGGUCUGAGAGGUUGAACCGCAACAUUGGUACGGCGACACGGCCCACACUACUACUGGUGGCAGCAGUCGGGAAUCUUUCGCAAUGGACGAAAUUCUGACGGCGCCACCCCGCGUCAGUUAUGACGGCUUUGGGGUUGUAAAGCUAUGUUAAUCGGGACGGGGUACCCGAAGAGAAAGCCACGGCUAACUACGUGCCAACAGCCGCGGUAAUAC
rnacentral:rRNA from 1 species